GACGUAGGAUGCGAGCGUUGUCCGGAUUCAUUGGGCGUAAAGGGCGCGUAGGCGGCCUGGUAAGUAGGGGGUGAAAUCCUGCGGCUUAACCGCAGGGCUGCCUUCUAAACUGUCAGGCUUGAGCACGGUAGAGGCAGAUGGAAUUCCCGGUGUAGCGGUGGAAUGCGUAGAGAUCGGGAAGAACAUCAGUGGCGAAGGCGGUCUGCUGGGCCGUUGCUGACGCUGAGGCGCGACAGCGUGGGGAGCAAACAGG
rnacentral:rRNA from 1 species